UCUCCGUUGGUGAACCAGCGGAGGGAUCAUUACCGAGUUUACAACCCCCAAACCCCUGUGAACAUACCAUUUGUUGCCUCGGCGGUGCCUGCUUCGACAGCCCGCCAGAGGACCCAAACCCUUGAUUUUAUACAGUAUCUUCUGAGUAAAUGAUUAAAUAAAUCAAAACUUUCAACAACGGAUCUCUUGGUUCUG
rnacentral:misc_RNA from 1 species